AAAGUUGUUCUCAGUUCGGAUUGUAGUCUGCAACUCGACUACAUGAAGCUGGAAUCGCUAGUAAUCGUAGAUCAGCAUGCUACGGUGAAUACGUUCCCGGGUCUUGUACACACCGCCCGUCACACCACGAGAGUUUGUAACACCCGAAGCCGGUGGAGUAACCUUUUAGGAGCUAGCCGUCGAAGGUGGGACAAAUGAUUGGGGUGAAGUCGUAACAAGGUAGCCGUAUCGGAAGGUGCGGCUGGAUCACCUCCUUUCUAAGGAUAUAUUCGGAACAUCUUCUUCAGAAGAUGCGGAAUAACGUGACAUAUUGUAUUCAGUUUUGAAUGUUUAUUUAACAUUCAAAUAUUUUUUGGUUAAAGUGAUAUUGCUUAUGAAAAUAAAGCAGUAUGCGAGCGCUUGACUAAAAAGAAAUUGUACAUUGAAAACUAGAUAAGUAAGUAAAAUAUAGAUUUUACCAAGCAAAACCGAGUGAAUAAAGAGUUUUAAAUAAGCUUGAAUUCAUAAGAAAUAAUCGCUAGUGUUCGAAAGAACACUCACAAGAUUAAUAACGCGUUUAAAUCUUUUUAUAAAAGAACGUAACUUCAUGUUAACGUUUGACUUAUAAAAAUGGUGGAAACAUAGAUUAAGUUAUUAAGGGCGCACGGUGGAUGCCUUGGCACUAGAAGCCGAUGAAGGACGUUACUAACGACGAUAUGCUUUGGGGAGCUGUAAGUAAGCUUUGAUCCAGAGAUUUCCGAAUGGGGAAACCCAGCAUGAGUUAUGUCAUGUUAUCGAUAUGUGAAUACAUAGCAUAUCAGAAGGCACACCCGGAGAACUGAAACAUCUUAGUACCCGGAGGAAGAGAAAGAAAAUUCGAUUCCCUUAGUAGCGGCGAGCGAAACGGGAAGAGCCCAAACCAACAAGCUUGCUUGUUGGGGUUGUAGGACACUCUAUACGGAGUUACAAAGGACGACAUUAGACGAAUCAUCUGGAAAGAUGAAUCAAAGAAGGUAAUAAUCCUGUAGUCGAAAAUGUUGUCUCUCUUGAGUGGAUCCUGAGUACGACGGAGCACGUGAAAUUCCGUCGGAAUCUGGGAGGACCAUCUCCUAAGGCUAAAUACUCUCUAGUGACCGAUAGUGAACCAGUACCGUGAGGGAAAGGUGAAAAGCACCCCGGAAGGGGAGUGAAAUAGAACCUGAAACCGUGUGCUUACAAGUAGUCAGAGCCCGUUAAUGGGUGAUGGCGUGCCUUUUGUAGAAUGAACCGGCNAGCGGUGAAAUGCGCAGAGAUAUGGAGGAACACCAGUGGCGAAGGCGACUUUCUGGUCUGUAACUGACGCUGAUGUGCGAAAGCGUGGGGAUCAAACAGGAUUAGAUACCCUGGUAGUCCACGCCGUAAACGAUGAGUGCUAAGUGUUAGGGGGUUUCCGCCCCUUAGUGCUGCAGCUAACGCAUUAAGCACUCCGCCUGGGGAGUACGACCGCAAGGUUGAAACUCAAAGGAAUUGACGGGGACCCGCACAAGCGGUGGAGCAUGUGGUUUAAUUCGAAGCAACGCGAAGAACCUUACCAAAUCUUGACAUCCUUUGACAACUCUAGAGAUAAAGCUUUCCCCUUCGGGGGACAAAGUGACAGGUGGUGCAUGGUUGUCGUCAGCUCGUGUCGUGAGAUGUUGGGUUAAGUCCCGCAACGAGCGCAACCCUUAAGCUUAGUUGCCAUCAUUAAGUUGGGCACCCUAAGUUGACUGCCGGUGACAAACCGGAGGAAGGUGGGGAUGACGUCAAAUCAUCAUGCCCCUUAUGAUUUGGGCUACACACGUGCUACAAUGGACAAUACAAAGGGCAGCGAAACCGCGAGGUCAAGCAAAUCCCAUAAAGUUGUUCUCAGUUCGGAUUGUAGUCUGCAACUCGACUACAUGAAGCUGGAAUCGCUAGUAAUCGUAGAUCAGCAUGCUACGGUGAAUACGUUCCCGGGUCUUGUACACACCGCCCGUCACACCACGAGAGUUUGUAACACCCGAAGCCGGUGGAGUAACCUUUUAGGAGCUAGCCGUCGAAGGUGGGACAAAUGAUUGGGGUGAAGUCGUAACAAGGUAGCCGUAUCGGAAGGUGCGGCUGGAUCACCU
rnacentral:rRNA from 1 species